rnacentral:rRNA from 1 species
GACUUUGGGAAGAAUCUAAAAAUUGUGAAUUUCAAUCUGAUCUUGGAAGCUAAGCAGGAUCGGGCCUGGUUAGUACUUGGAAGGGAGACCAGCCAGGAAGACCAGGUGCUGUAGGUC